rnacentral:rRNA from 1 species
CUCUCUCAAACCUUAGGGUUUGGUAUUGAGUGAUACUCUCUUCUGGGUUAACUUGAAAUAGUGUACUGGCAAGAGUGUGCUUUUGUGGCCUCUUGACUGAGAUAAUGUAUUAGGUUCUACCAACUCGUUAUAGCAGUUCAAUUGUCCCUUUGGCAUAUCCAGCUCGGCCUGACAAUCUUCUAAAGU